rnacentral:rRNA from 1 species
CUCGUAGGCGGUUCGUCGCGUCCGGUUGUGAAAGUCCAUCGCUUAACGGUGGAUCUGCGCCGGGUACGGGCGGGCUGGAGUGCGGUAGGGGAGACUGGAAUUCCCGGUGUAACGGUGGAAUGUGUAGAUAUCGGGAAGAACACCAAUGGCGAAGGCAGGUCUCUGGGCCGUUACUGACGCUGAGGAGCGAAAGCGUGGGGAGCGAACA